rnacentral:rRNA from 1 species
GACGGAGGAUGCAAGUGUUAUCCGGAAUCACUGGGCGUAAAGCGUCUGUAGGUGGUUUAUUAAGUCAACUGUUAAAUCUUGAGGCUCAACCUCAAAAUCGCAGUCGAAACUAUUAGGCUAGAGUAUAGUAGGGGUAAAGGGAAUUUCCAGUGGAGCGGUGAAAUGCGUAGAGAUUGGAAAGAACAUCCAUGGCGAAGGCAGCUACCUGGACCAACACUGACACUGAGGCACGAAAGCGUGGGGAGCAAACAGG